rnacentral:rRNA from 1 species
AGUUUGAUCCUGCUCAGGAUGAACGCUAGCGGCAGGCUUAACACAUGCAAGUCGAGGGGUAUCCUAGCAAUAGGAGAGACCGGCGCACGGGUGCGUAACGCGUAUGCAAUCUACCUUAUACAGGGGGAUAGCCCAGAGAAAUUUGGAUUAAUACCCCAUAGUAUAAUUGAAUGGCAUCAUUUAAUUAUUAAAGUUCCAACGGUAUAAGAUGAGCAUGCGUAUCAUUAGCUAGAUGGUAAGGUAACGGCUUACCAUGGCUACGAUGAUUAGGGGUCCUGAGAGGGAGAUCCCCCACACUGGUACUGAGACACGGACCAGACUCCUACGGGAGGCAGCAGUGAGGAAUAUUGGUCAAUGGGCGCAAGCCUGAACCAGCCAUGCCGCGUGCAGGAAGACGCAUCUAUGGUGUGUAAACUGCUUUUAUACAGGAAGAAACCCUAUCUCGUGAGGUAGAUUGACGGUACUGUAGGAAUAAGGAUCGGCUAACUCCGUGCCAGCAGCCGCGGUAAUACGGAGGAUCCAAGCGUUAUCCGGAAUCAUUGGGUUUAAAGGGUCCGUAGGCGGCUUAAUAAGUCAGUGGUGAAAUCCCAUCGCUCAACGGUGGAACGGCCAUUGAUACUGUUAGACUUGAAUUAUUUGGAAGUAACUAGAAUAUGUAGUGUAGCGGUGAAAUGCUUAGAGAUUACAUGGAAUACCAAUUGCGAAGGC